rnacentral:rRNA from 1 species
UACAGAGGGUGCAAGCGUUACUCGGAAUUACUGGGCGUAAAGAGCGCGCAGGCGGUCGUUCAAGUCGAGUGUGAAAGCCCCCGGCUCAACUGGGGAGGGUCACUUGAUACUGAUCGACUCGAAGGCAGGAGAGGGAAGCGGAAUUCCCGGUGUAGUGGUGAAAUGCGUAGAUAUCGGGAGGAACACCAGUGGCGAAGGCGGCUUCCUGGCCUGUUCUUGACGCUGAGGCGCGAAAGUUAGGGGAGCAAACGGG